rnacentral:rRNA from 3 species
GCAGUCGACGAUGAAGCCCUUCGGGGUGGAUUAGUGGCGAACGGGUGAGUAACACGUGGGCAAUCUGCCCUUCACUCUGGGACAAGCCCUGGAAACGGGGUCUAAUACCGGAUAACACCGGCCUCCGCAUGGGGGCCGGUUGAAAGCUCCGGCGGUGAAGGAUGAGCCCGCGGCCUAUCAGCUUGUUGGUGGGGUAAUGGCCUACCAAGGCGACGACGGGUAGCCGGCCUGAGAGGGCGACCGGCCACACUGGGACUGAGACACGGCCCAGACUCCUACGGGAGGCAGCAGUGGGGAAUAUUGCACAAUGGGCGAAAGCCUGAUGCAGCGACGCCGCGUGAGGGAUGACGGCCUUCGGGUUGUAAACCUCUUUCAGCAGGGAAGAAGCGAGAGUGACGGUACCUGCAGAAGAAGCGCCGGCUAACUACGUGCCAGCAGCCGCGGUAAUACGUAGGGCGCAAGCGUUGUCCGGAAUUAUUGGGCGUAAAGAGCUCGUAGGCGGCUUGUCACGUCGGGUGUGAAAGCCCGGGGCUUAACCCCGGGUCUGCAUCCGAUACGGGCAGGCUAGAGUGUGGUAGGGGAGAUCGGAAUUCCUGGUGUAGCGGUGAAAUGCGCAGAUAUCAGGAGGAACACCGGUGGCGAAGGCGGAUCUCUGGGCCAUUACUGACGCUGAGGAGCGAAAGCGUGGGGAGCGAACAGG